rnacentral:rRNA from 1 species
GACGAACGCUGGCGGCGUGCUUAACACAUGCAAGUCGAGCGAUGAAGCUUCUUCGGAAGUGGAUUAGCGGCGGACGGGUGAGUAACACGUGGGUAACCUGCCUCAUAGAGGGGAAUAGCCUUCCGAAAGGAAGAUUAAUACCGCAUAAGAUUGUAAUAUCGCAUGAUAUAGCAAUUAAAGGAGCAAUCCGCUAUGAGAUGGACCCGCGUCGCAUUAGCUAGUUGGUGAGGUAACGGCUCACCAAGGCGACGAUGCGUAGCCGACCUGAGAGGGUGAUCGGCCACAUUGGGACUGAGACACGGCCCAGACUCCUACGGGAGGCAGCAGUGGGGAAUAUUGCACAAUGGGGGAAACCCUGAUGCAGCAACGCCGCGUGAGUGAUGACGGUCUUCGGAUUGUAAAGCUCUGUCUUUAGGGACGAUAAUGACGGUACCUAAGGAGGAAGCCACGGCUAACUCUGUGCCAGCCGCCGCAGUAA